UGUGUAGGCGGUUGCUUAAGUUUGGUGUGAAAUCUCCCGGCUCAACUGGGAGGGUGCGCCGAUUACUGAGUGACUCGAGUGCGGGAGAGGAGAGUGGAAUUCCUGGUGUAGCGGUGAAAUGCGUAGAUAUCAGGAGGAACACCGGUGGUGUAGACGGCUCUCUGGACCGUAACUGACGCUGAGACACGAAAGCGUGGGUAGCAAACAGGAUUAGAUACCCUGGUAGUCCACGCCCUAAACGAUGCAUAUUUGGUGUGGGCGGUUCAGUCUGUCCGUGCCGGAGCUAACGCGUUAAAUAUGCCGCCUGGGGAGUACAGUCGCAAGGCUGAA
rnacentral:rRNA from 1 species